UACGAAGGGGGCUAGCGUUGCUCGGAAUCACUGGGCGUAAAGCGCACGUAGGCGGACUCUUAAGUCGGUGGUGAAAUCCUGGAGCUCAACUCCAGAACUGCCUUCGAUACUGGGAGUCUUCGAGUCCGGGAGAGGUGAGUGGAACUGCGAGUGUAGAGGUGAAAUUCGUAGAUAUUCGCAAGAACACCAGUGGCGAAGGCGGCUCACUGGCCCGAUACUGACGCUGAGGCACGGAAAGCGUGGGGAGCAAACAGGG
rnacentral:rRNA from 1 species